rnacentral:rRNA from 1 species
ACGCUUCUUUCCUCCCGAGUGCUUGCACUCAAUUGGAAAGAGGAGUGGCGGACGGGUGAGUAACACGUGGGUAACCUACCCAUCAGAGGGGGAUAACACUUGGAAACAGGUGCUAAUACCGCAUAACAGUUUAUGCCGCAUGGCAUAAGAGUGAAAGGCGCUUUCGGGUGUCGCUGAUGGAUGGACCCGCGGUGCAUUAGCUAGUUGGUGAGGUAACGGCUCACCAAGGCCACGAUGCAUAGCCGACCUGAGAGGGUGAUCGGCCACACUGGGACUGAGACACGGCCCAGACUCCUACGGGAGGCAGCAGUAGGGAAUCUUCGGCAAUGGACGAAAGUCUGACCGAGCAACGCCGCGUGAGUGAAGAAGGUUUUCGGAUCGUAAAACUCUGUUGUUAGAGAAGAACAAGGACGUUAGUAACUGAACGUCCCCUGACGGUAUCUAACCAGAAAGCCACGGCUAACUACGUGCCAGCAGCCGCGGUAAUACGUAGGUGGCAAGCGUUGUCCGGAUUUAUUGGGCGUAAAGCGAGCGCAGGCGGUUUCUUAAGUCUGAUGUGAAAGCCCCCGGCUCAACCGGGGAGGGUCAUUGGAAACUGGGAGACUUGAGUGCAGAAGAGGAGAGUGGAAUUCCAUGUGUAGCGGUGAAAUGCGUAGAUAUAUGGAGGAACACCAGUGGCGAANNCGGCUCUCUGGUCUGUAACUGACGCUGAGGCUCGAAAGCGUGGGGAGCAAACAGGANUAGAUACCCNGGNUAG